GAUAUAUAGGAAUUUUGCUUUUACAUCCCCAACAAAGAAAAGCUAAAUCAAGAAACAGAACACAAGCUAAUAUUGCACAUGACUAAGCUAAUUUAUUAGUGAAGAAUUAAUCUUGGUCAUUCCUUCUUAGUCAUAGCCACAACCACAUUAACAAAUUCAGUCUUCUCUUUUCCCAUGCGAUCAGCUAUGAUUGCCUUGUAUCGGCGGAAAACAUCGUCGAUGAUUGCUUCCCCGAAGCCGAAGUGUUCAAUAAGCAAGGGCUCAGCCACAGCUCUCAUGCACCGAGCAACAUUAUAUCCACUAUCUUUAAAUGCAUCGGGGAGGUUAAUUUCAUUGUGAUAAGCAUCCCAAUUGAUUUCAAAAACCUCCAACCGAUCAAUGCUAAAAGACCCUUCCUUUUCAGUAUCGGAUUGUACUUCAAAUGGGGAUGGUGUGUACAGAGGAAUGUUGAAGGAAUCUAAUUUCUCUUCCUCAAUGAUUCCCUCAAAAACCAUUUCUUUGAGAGCCAUAGCCAAAAGCUCCCAGAUGUAGCAGCACUCUUUUCCAGUCGGAUCUUGACUUCUCCUACCCAAAAAUGUCAAAACCAUGCGACCACCAGUCACCAAUUCCUCCGAACGACAAGUCAAAAACAAUGUAAAAUCCCUUUGAAAUUGGUCAUAAUAUGCCUUGAGAACUCUUGGUGGACUGCCACUAGCCAUAUAAAUGUUCCCUUUGUUACCCUCCAGUCCAUCAGGAACCUGAGAUAGCCAGUGGAGACUAUAAGA
rnacentral:misc_RNA from 1 species